rnacentral:tRNA from 1 species
GCGUGGUAGCUCAGUUGGUGAGAGCGUCGGAUUCAUAACCCGGAGGUCGACGGUUCGAUUCCGUCCCAC